AGCGAACGCUGGCGGCAGGCCUAACACAUGCAAGUCGAACGAACCUUUCGGGGUUAGUGGCGGACGGGUGAGUAACACGUGGGAACGUGCCUUUAGGUUCGGAAUAACUCAGGGAAACUUGUGCUAAUACCGAAUGUGCCCUUCGGGGGAAAGAUUUAUCGCCUUUAGAGCGGCCCGCGUCUGAUUAGCUAGUUGGUUGAGGUAAUGGCUCACCAAGGCGACGAUCAGUAGCUGGUCUGAGAGGAUGAUCAGUCACAUUGGGACUGAGACACGGCCCAAACUCCUACGGGAGGCAGCAGUGGGGAAUCUUGCGCAAUGGGCGAAAGCCUGACGCAGCCAUGCCGCGUGAAUGAUGAAGGUCUUAGGAUUGUAAAAUUCUUUCACCGGGGACGAUAAUGACGGUACCCGGAGAAGAAGCCCCGGCUAACUUCGUG
rnacentral:rRNA from 1 species